rnacentral:rRNA from 1 species
CCUACGGGAGGCAGCAGUAGGGAAUCUUUCACAAUGGGCGAAAGCCUGAUGGAGCCACGCCGCGUGCAGGAUGAAGGCCUUCGGGUUGUAAACUGCUUUUAUAAGCGAGAAAUAUGAUGGUAACUUAUGAAUAAGGAACGGCUAACUACGUGCCAGCAGCCGCGGUCAUACGUAGGAUCCGAGCAUUAUCCGGAGUGACUGGGUGUAAAGAGUUGUGUAGGUGGCAUAAUAAGUAGCUAGUGAAAUCUGGUGGCUCAACCAUUCAGACUAUUAGCUAAACUGUUAAGCUCGAGACCGUUAGAGGCAGCUGGAAUUUCUGGUGUAGGAGUGAAAUCCGUAGAUAUUAGGAGGAACACCGAUAGCGUAGGCAGGAUGCUGGGACGGUUCUGACACUAAGGCACGAAAGCGUAGGGAGCAAACGGGAUUAGAUACCCCAGUAGUC